rnacentral:rRNA from 1 species
UACGGAGGAUCCGAACGUUAUCCGGAUUUAUUGGGUUUAAAGGGUGCGUAGGCGGACUGAUAAGUCAGCUGUGAAAGUUUGCGGCUCAACCGUAAAAUUGCAGUUGAAACUGUUAGUCUUGAGUGUACAUAAGGUUGGCGGAAUUCGUGGUGUAGCGGUGAAAUGCUUAGAUAUCACGAAGAACUCCAAUUGCGAAGGCAGCUUACCGGGGUACAACUGACGCUGAGGCACGAAAGCGUGGGUAUCAAACAGGAUUAGAUACCCUGGUAGUCCACGCAGUAAACGAUGAAUACUCGCUGUUGGCGAUAUACCGUCAGCGGCUAAGCGAAAGCAUUAAGUAUUCCACCUGGGGAGUACGCCGGCAACGGUGAA